rnacentral:rRNA from 1 species
GACGAACGCUGGCGGCGUGCUUAACACAUGCAAGUCGAACGGAAAGGCCCUGCUUUUGUGGGGUGCUCGAGUGGCGAACGGGUGAGUAACACAUGAGUAACCUGCCCUUGACUUUGGGAUAACUUCAGGAAACUGGGGCUAAUACCGGAUAGGAGCUCCUGCUGCAUGGUGGGGGUUGGAAAGUUUCGGCGGUUGGGGAUGGACUCGCGGCUUAUCAGCUUGUUGGUGGGGUAGUGGCUUACCAAGGCUUUGACGGGUAGCCGGCCUGAGAGGGUGACCGGCCACAUUGGGACUGAGAUACGGCCCAGACUCCUACGGGAGGCAGCAGUGGGGAAUAUUGCACAAUGGGCGGAAGCCUGAUGCAGCAACGCCGCGUGCGGGAUGACGGCCUUCGGGUUGUAAACCGCUUUCGCCUGUGACGAAGCAUGAGUGACGGUAAUGGGUAAAGAAGCACCGGCUAACUACGUG